UGUUUCGGCAAGGGGGUCAUCCCGACUUACCAACCCGAUGCAAACUGCGAAUACCGGAGAAUGUUAUCACGGGAGACACACGGCGGGUGCUAACGUCCGUCGUGAAGAGGGAAACAACCCAGACCGCCAGCUAAGGUCCCAAAGUCAUGGUUAAGUGGGAAACGAUGUGGGAAGGCCCAGACAGCCAGGAUGUUGGCUUAGAAGCAGCCAUCAUUUAAAGAAAGCGUAAUAGCUCACUGGUCGAGUCGGCCUGCGCGGAAGAUGUAACGGGGCUAAACCAUGCACCGAAGCUGCGGCAGCGACGCUUAUGCGUUGUUGGGUAGGGGAGCGUUCUGUAAGCCUGUGAAGGUGUGCUGUGAGGCAUGCUGGAGGUAUCAGAAGUGCGAAUGCUGACAUAAGUAACGAUAAAGCGGGUGAAAAGCCCGCUCGCCGGAAGACCAAGGGUUCCUGUCCAACGUUAAUCGGGGCAGGGUGAGUCGACCCCUAAGGCGAGGCCGAAAGGCGUAGUCGAUGGGAAACAGGUUAAUAUUCCUGUACUUGGUGUUACUGCGAAGGGGGGACGGAGAAGGCUAUGUUGGCCGGGCGACGGUUGUCCCGGUUUAAGCGUGUAGGCUGGUUUUCCAGGCAAAUCCGGAAAAUCAAGGCUGAGGCGUGAUGACGAGGCACUACGGUGCUGAAGCAACAAAUGCCCUGCUUCCAGGAAAAGCCUCUAAGCAUCAGGUAACAUCAAAUCGUACCCCAAACCGACACAGGUGGUCAGGUAGAGAAUACCAAGGCGCUUGAGAGAACUCGGGUGAAGGAACUAGGCAAAAUGGUGCCGUAACUUCGGGAGAAGGCACGCUGAUAUGUAGGUGAAGUCCCUCGCGGAUGGAGCUGAAAUCAGUCGAAGAUACCAGCUGGCUGCAACUGUUUAUUAAAAACACAGCACUGUGCAAACACGAAAGUGGACGUAUACGGUGUGACGCCUGCCCGGUGCCGGAAGGUUAAUUGAUGGGGUCAGCGCAAGCGAAGCUCUUGAUCGAAGCCCCGGUAAACGGCGGCCGUAACUAUAACGGUCCUAAGGUAGCGAAAUUCCUUGUCGGGUAAGUUCCGACCUGCACGAAUGGCGUAAUGAUGGCCAGGCUGUCUCCACCCGAGACUCAGUGAAAUUGAACUCGCUGUGAAGAUGCAGUGUACCCGCGGCAAGACGGAAAGACCCCGUGAACCUUUACUAUAGCUUGACACUGAACAUUGAGCCUUGAUGUGUAGGAUAGGUGGGAGGCUUAGAAGUGUGGACGCCAGUCUGCAUGGAGCCGACCUUGAAAUACCACCCUUUAAUGUUUGAUGUUCUAACGUUGACCCGUAAUCCGGGUUGCGGACAGUGUCUGGUGGGUAGUUUGACUGGGGCGGUCUCCUCCUAAAGAGUAACGGAGGAGCACGAAGGUUGGCUAAUCCUGGUCGGACAUCAGGAGGUUAGUGCAAUGGCAUAAGCCAGCUUGACUGCGAGCGUGACGGCGCGAGCAGGUGCGAAAGCAGGUCAUAGUGAUCCGGUGGUUCUGAAUGGAAGGGCCAUCGCUCAACGGAUAAAAGGUACUCCGGGGAUAACAGGCUGAUACCGCCCAAGAGUUCAUAUCGACGGCGGUGUUUGGCACCUCGAUGUCGGCUCAUCACAUCCUGGGGCUGAAGUAGGUCCCAAGGGUAUGGCUGUUCGCCAUUUAAAGUGGUACGCGAGCUGGGUUUAGAACGUCGUGAGACAGUUCGGUCCCUAUCUGCCGUGGGCGCUGGAGAACUGAGGGGGGCUGCUCCUAGUACGAGAGGACCGGAGUGGACGCAUCACUGGUGUUCGGGUUGUCAUGCCAAUGGCACUGCCCGGUAGCUAAAUGCGGAAGAGAUAAGUGCUGAAAGCAUCUAAGCACGAAACUUGCCCCGAGAUGAGUUCUCCCUGACCCUUUAAGGGUCCUGAAGGAACGUUGAAGACGACGACGUUGAUAGGCCGGGUGUGUAAGCGCAGCGAUGCGUUGAGCUAACCGGUACUAAUGAACCGUGAGGCUUAACCUUACAACGCCGAAGCUGUU
rnacentral:rRNA from 1 species